AGCAGCCGCGGUAAUUCCAGCUCCAAUAGCGUAUAUUAAAGUUGUUGCAGUUAAAAAGCUCGUAGUUGAACUUCAGGCCUGUCCAGAUGGUCCGCCUUAAUUGGUGUGUACUGUCCUUGGGUGGGUCCUACCUUCUGGCGAAGCGGCAUGGCCUUAGUUGGUUGUGUUGGGGAACCAGGACUUUUACUGUGAAAAAUUGAGUGUUCAAGGCAGGCAUAAUAUGCUCGAAUACAUUAGCAUGGAAUAAUGGAAUAGGACGAUGGUUCUAUUUUGUUGGUUCUAGGACCGUUGUAAUGAUUAAUAGGGAUAGUUGGGGGCAUUAGUAUUCAAUUGUCAGAGGUGAAAUUCUUGGAUUUAUUGAAGACUAACUACUGCGAAAGCAUUUGCCAAGGAUGUUUUCAUUAAUCAAGAACGAAAGUUAGGGGAUCGAAGACGAUCAGAUACCGUCGUAGUCUUAACCAUAAACUAUGCCGACUAGGAAUCGGGCGAUGUUGACAAAAUGA
rnacentral:misc_RNA from 1 species